rnacentral:rRNA from 1 species
GAACUGAAGAGUUUGAUCCUGGCUCAGAUUGAACGCUGGCGGCAUGCCUUACACAUGCAAGUCGAACGGCAGCACGGGUGCUUGCACCUGGUGGCGAGUGGCGAACGGGUGAGUAAUACAUCGGAACAUGUCCUGUAGUGGGGGAUAGCCCGGCGAAAGCCGGAUUAAUACCGCAUACGAUCUACGGAUGAAAGCGGGGGACCUUCGGGCCUCGCGCUAUAGGGUUGGCCGAUGGCUGAUUAGCUAGUUGGUGGGGUAAAGGCCUACCAAGGCGACGAUCAGUAGCUGGUCUGAGAGGACGACCAGCCACACUGGGACUGAGACACGGCCCAGACUCCUACGGGAGGCAGCAGUGGGGAAUUUUGGACAAUGGGCGAAAGCCUGAUCCAGCAAUGCCGCGUGUGUGAAGAAGGCCUUCGGGUUGUAAAGCACUUUUGUCCGGAAAGAAAUCCUUGGCUCUAAUACAGUCGGGGGAUGACGGUACCGGAAGAAUAAGCACCGGCUAACUACGUGCCAGCAGCCGCGGUAAUACGUAGGGUGC